rnacentral:rRNA from 1 species
AGUGUAGGCGGGAUCGUAAGUUAGGAGUUUAAUACAUGGGCUUAACCCAUGAGCUGCUUUUAAUACUGCGGUUCUUGAGUAUGGGAGAGGGCGAUGGAAUUCCAGGUGUAGCGGUGGAGUGCGUAGAUAUCUGGAAGAACACCAGUAGCGAAGGCGGUCGCCUGGCCCAAUACUGACGCUGAUGCUCGAAAGCUAGGGGAGCAAACAGGAUUAGAUACCCUGGUAGUCCUAGCCGUAAACGAUGGACACUAGUUGCUGGAGGAGUCAAUCCUUUCGGUGACGAAGCUAACGCAUUAAGUGUCCCGCCUGGGGAGUACGUUCGCAAGGAUGAA